rnacentral:rRNA from 1 species
UACGUAGGGGGCAAGCGUUGUCCGGAAUCAUUGGGCGUAAAGAGCGUGUAGGCGGCUCGGUAAGUCCGCUCUGAAAGCCCGGGGCUCAACCCCGGGAGGCGGGCGGAUACUGUCGGGCUAGAGUCCGGAAGAGGCGAGUGGAAUUCCUGGUGUAGCGGUGAAAUGCGCAGAUAUCGGGAAGAACACCCGUGGCGAAGGCGGCACUCUGGGACGGUACUGACGCUGAGACGCGAAAGCGUGGGGAGCGAACAGG